UGGGGAGUCGUCUAGUGGCAGGACAGCGGACUCUGGAUCCGUCGGCGGGGGUUCGAAUCCUCCCUCCCCAACCA
rnacentral:tRNA from 1 species